rnacentral:rRNA from 1 species
GACGAACGCUGGCGGCGUGCUUAACACAUGCAAGUCGAACGGAAAGGCCCUGCUUUUGUGGGGUUCUCGAGUGGCGAACGGGUGAGUAACACGUGAGUAACCUGCCCUUGACUUUGGGAUAACUUCAGGAAACUGGGGCUCAUACCGGAUAGGAGCUCCUGCUGCAUGGUGGGGGUUGGAAAGUUUCGGCGGUUGGGGAUGGACUCGCGGCUUAUCAGCUUGUUGGUGGGGUAGUGAGUUACCAAGGCUUUGACGGGUAGCCGACCUGUGAGGGUGAUCGGCCACCUUGGAGCUGAGCCGGGCUCCAUAGUCCUGCGAGAGGCCGCAGUAGCCUAUGGGAGGCAGUAGGGGGGAAUCUGACGCAAUGGGGGGAAGUCAGUGGUAGCAGUGCCGGGUGCGUGAAACCGUGCUUCGAGUUGUGAACCGCUGUCGACUGUGAUGUAGCGUGAGUGACGGUAACGGGUAAAGAAGCACCGGCUAACUACGUG